rnacentral:misc_RNA from 1 species
CGCACAUUGCGCCCCUUGGUAUUCCGAGGGGCAUGCCUGUUCGAGCGUCAUUAAAAGAAGUUCAAGCUCCGGCUUGGGAUUGGGCGUCGUCCCCGCAGCGGACGCGCCCCAAAGACAUCGGCGGCGGCAUCACGGGCCUCAAGCGUAGUAGAAUCUUCCACCCGCUUACGGAGGCCCUGGACCGCCCGCUACUAGAAACCUCACACAUCAAAGGUUGACCUCGGAUCAGGUAGGGAUACCCGCUGAACUUAA